UAAUACAGAGGGGGCAAGCGUUGUCCGGACUUACUGGGCGUACAGCGCGCGCAGGCGGUCGUCGACGUGCCGUGUGACAGCCAUCGGCUCAACCGAUGGAGGCCGGGGUACACGAGACGACUGGAGGCAGAGAGAGGGAUGUGGAAUACCCGGUGGAGCGGUGAAAUGCGUAGAGAUCGGGUGGAACACCAGCGGCGAAGGCGGCAUCCUGGCUCUGUUCUGACGCUGAGGCGCGAGAGCGUGGGGAGCAAACCGGAUUAGAUACCCGGGUAGUCCACGCCGUAAACGAUGUGUACCCGGCGCUGGGCGGUGAUUGCGCCGCUCGGUGCCCCAGCUUACGCGAUGAGUACACCGCCUGGGGACUACGGCCGCAAGGCUA
rnacentral:rRNA from 1 species